UUCUGCACGAGGACACGCUGAAAGCCUCCGGUCAGGUGUUAAUGUACAUCCUGAUCGACCCGACCUUAUUUUACGUUGGGUUGUUAUGAGAACUUAUCCUCUAAAGACUGCUGCAACUAAUCGGAAUCCAAAGAGAGCAGCAGAAAGUCGAUUAAAACCAAGCGCUUCUUCCCCGUUUGGCGUCUCGUCAGCCAGCGACCUUUCGGUCUGACCUCUGAGCAUAAACCCGCCCGGCGUCCCCGGACCGGAGCGUCUGCAGCUCAUCUCGUCUCGUGUCUCGGAGGCAUGCGACCGGCCUCUGUGUGGUAGACGGGCCCGUGCGGGAGGGGGAGCCCGAUACACAAACCAGAUGUGAGAGCCGCGUGCCAGAUGUGGCCGCUUUGCUCCAGUUAGGGUAGUCAAAACGGUCAGCCGCGGGCCGGGGGCCUUCACGGGGAGGAUUGCUUUCACGGCACGCCAUUGGCCAACUCAAACAAAAACACGAGAGAGCCGACUGGAAAAGAAGGAGAUGAGUAAUUAUCAUUAAUAAUGGUUCUGCUGAAGAGCUUUCAGAAGGGGAGGAGAUGUUGCAUGUGAAGUAUGUACGCCGCACGGUGUGUCCUUCUAGGCACUUUAACAUUAAAUUCAUUACACAGAUUGUCCGGCCACAGCAUUUAAAGACGAGGUGACGACAUCCAGAGAGUCAGAAGGCUGCAGUUUGAACACGCCGUCUCUUCUGAAUCCGAGCGGCGCUCUUUCACUUGUUCCCGGAGAACAGGAGAGCGGCCGUUUGUUCGGAGGUAAUCUUCUGUGACCGGACCACAGGUCUGGAAAAAUUCACGCUUGUUGGCUCCGAGAACACAAGGGCCCGUUGUAACACUCGGGAUGCUGGAAACGACACCGGCAGGGCAGACGUUUAAAUACCUGCCGCAGGAUUUCCUUCAUCAGCCGGAUUCCGCCUGAAAAAGACCCACCAGUAUGAGCGAGAUCACCACAGCGAGCCCAGUCAACUGACCAACAACCGGCCGCUAGUUGUCUUGGUUUUACAGGCCUCUCUCACUCAAAAUGUUAACUUACGACAGACAAUAGAUGGAGAAAAAUUAGCAAAUAUGCUAAAGUUUAGUAACUUAUCGGCUGUCGCUGUGUGGCAUUUUUUUAAAUUUUAAAAUAAAUUGUAUAUUAUAGGAGAUUUGUGUUUUCAAAGAAACUCAUUAACUCAUCAGCCCUUAUGCUAAGCUAAGACGUGACAGCGGUGCCGAUUAGCGAGCAUGCUAAUGACUGUCCCAAAAUGAUAUUGAAGCCUAUCCUUUUGAGUAUUACCGUUAUUUUACAGUGGAAUUCACCAGGCGAGCCUGAGCAGGUGAGACAGACACAAGAGGACGUCUUUGGUGACAAAAGACAAGUAACACGAGCGACAGUGAGAGUGGAAAAAGGUGCUGCAGAAAUCCCAAAGUGUUGAAAGAGAGAAGGCUGAUGGGGGAGGGGGGGGGGGGGCAGAGAGUAGGGGGGGGGGGCAGAGAGUAUCUUACUGGCUUCAGUUGCUUCCACUGCGCGCUGCCAGAUGAGUGGGUGGAGGGGAAAGAAGGAUCUCUAUUUGUCUUCCUGGGAGUUUCCGAGGCGGCUCAGAGCUCGUGUAGGUGAGUGGCUGCAGACCCCUCCGCCCCCCCCCCCCCCUCCCCACAUCCUCUAUCGUCCUCAAGGGUCCUCGCAGGGACAAUCAAUGCGGGCAGGAGAAAAGGUUUACGUCUUGCUUUAAACUCGCUGAACUGCGUUGCGUCCCUGUCACCCCCGCUGCACAGGAGAGAUUCUGUUUUUAUGUGCGUCUCCUGUGAAUCCAUCGCACUAAAAGCCCGGCUCUCAUUGUUAAAAACCCCCGUGUGUGUGUGUGUGUGUGUGUGUGUGUGUGUGUGUGUGUGCGUGCGCUCUGAGGUGGAGGAUCAGGACUAAGGAGUCUCAGACGUCUCUUUGGCCACCUCCUGACCCCUGGCUGCAAAAGUGGAAAGAAACGGAUCAUUUGCAGGGUGUGGGGGGGGGGUCUCUGUCGUAUCUUCGUCUCGGUGCCUCGCUGACAGGUUUGCAUGGAGUGUUUGUGUGACGGGACUUCGUUGGGCCGGGUCGAGGGCCCGUGAGGCCUUCUAAUAAAAGGAGGAACGUUGGCAGCAGCUCUGGGGAGAUAUUGAACAUCUUGUCACGCAGGGGAACCGCCUCAUCCAGACCGGGGCCCAUUCUCUACCCCCGGUGUGUAGCUGGGGGGGGCAUACGAGAAUCAAGAAACAGCCAACACCCCCCCUGCUGCGCCGAGAAGGCCGUCAGAACAAUAAAAGCCGGCAGAGCAGAGGAAGCGUCCCGGCCAGAGGCCCCGCGGGCCGGACAACGCUCGGCCUGUUCAGGGUGAAACAAAUAAACGCCUCUCAGUUACACACACACACACACACAGACACACACACACAGACACACACGCAGAGGGAAGGAAUGAGGAAACAGAUAUGGAGUGAACAAGGACAAAGCAAAUCCAAGCUGUAGUUAAUCUACAAGAUUUAUCUUUUGCUCAGAGCAGUAAUGCGUAUUAAAGAGCCAAAAUGUGACGGUGAGGGAAGCAGCGUUGUGUUCAGGCACCAAAGGACGACUCGCUCCCCCAAGGUCAUAUAUAUGUCCUAUGAAUCGCUUUGUGCACCGGCUAAUGUGAUCAUUAUGAAUAUGAAUACUUUCUUAUGACACUUUUAUGACAUACUUGCUGUGACUAAUAUAUGACAAUAUGACUAUUGACAAACUGUACAUGUGUGACUUUCUUGCGAAAUCAAAUGAUAUGGAAUAAUAUUGUACAUAUAUAUAUACAUAUAUAACUUUAUUACUUAAGAUAUGGCUUUAAUAUGACUUUAUUUCAACAAACUGUAUUUUUUACCACUAAUGCCACACACUUUCACCUUUUUUGGCACAAAAUGCAUUUACUUUUCUUUAUGAAUAAAUUGUUUAAUGACUUACAUGAUUUAUUUUGGCAUACUGUGUCCCCAUAUCACCAAUGUAUCCUGAUAAGUGUGAAUUAGUUCCCAGUCAUAUCUCAUAUUAAAGCUACUACCAGACUUAUUAGUAGCUGUAGUAUAUCCAGUAUAACCUAUUUCCUUACAACCAAUUAAAAUAGAUCCUUUUUUACAGUAAACUGUGGCGGUUUUUCUACGCCAAGACCCCAGCCUUGGCAUUAAUUUGAAAUAGAAAAAGUACAUGUACCAUUUAGUUGUACCAGUGCUUUCUCUCCCACUCAUGGCCAGGGUUUAAAUCAGAGCCAUAGAGAAAACACCUCCCACGUACUAAUUCACCAGUGAAAAGGCAUUUAAAAAGUAAUGUUAGUUGAUGAAAAGAGGAUAGAGAUUAAAACCAGCAAUAAUGUAAUUUCCCAUUUUCGAAAAGGCAGCGACAAAGGCCACGCAAAAAGGGGGCUUCGUUAAGACCCUCUGUUCAUUUAUUACCAGAGCAGUUUGGUUAAAAGCUACUGACAUACCAACAUCCCGGAUUCAUAACUUUUCUCUGGUAGCGUAACUACGAGGCACCAGAUGGAAACAUCUGUUCGCUAGUGCUCGUCGGGGGGGGGGGGGGGUCCAUCAGUCCAUCAGGAGAGGCUUUCCACUAAGAAUCAAAGAGCACACGUGUUACUGUCUGCAGCCUCCUGCAAUACGUGACUCUUAACGUCUUCAUGUCCAUGUGGGGGGUGGGGGGGGGUCCACUACGUGCCAUUAAGACCAUGUGGCAGCAGUUAAGAUGGUUGACUGUAUCUGCACUGGUGUGUAGAGAUGGAUCUCCCCCCCGGCCCCCCAAACUCGCUCUCUCUGGACAAACGGUCAACCGCUUACAACAAUAGGCGCAGUGUUCUUAGUCUGUUCUCAGUCUGUUCUCAGUCUGUUCUGUUCUCAGUCUGUUCUCGGUCUGUUCUCGGUCUGUUCUCGGUCUGUUCUUAGUCUGUUCUGUUCUCAGUCUGUUCUCAGUCUGUUCUCAGUCUGUUCUGUUCUCAGUCUGUUCUGUUCUCAGUCUGUUCUCGGUCUGUUCUCGCUCUGUUCUUAGUCUGUUCUCAGUCUGUUCUCGGUCUGUUCUCGGUCUGUUCUCAGUCUGUUCUCAGUCUGUUCUCAGUCUGUUCUUAGUCUGUUCUCGGUCUGUUCUCGGUCUGUUCUCAGUCUGUUCUCAGUCUGUUCUUAGUCUGUUCUCGGUCUGUUCUCGGUCUGUUCUCAGUCUGUUCUCAGUCUGUUCUCAGUCUGUUCCUUAUCUGUUCUCAGUCUGUUCUCAGUCUGUUCUCAGUCUGUUCUCAGGACCGUCUUUGAAAACCACCGACCUUGCGUGUCUCCUCAGAGGUCACACCUCCCGGCACGUGUCCGCUUUCGAAAACGAACAUCCAGACGUUCACUUCGACAAGGCCGCAGGCUUGUUUGGACGCGG
ensembl:lncRNA